AUAAUACUCCAUAGAUUAGAGACACUGGAAUGUUCUUUAGUCGAAAGUUCUGGCGCCUUAGGAUGGAUCUGCGGUCGAUUAGGUUGUUGUUGGGGUAACGGCCCAACAAGCCUGUAAUCGAUACAGGUUGUGGGAGCAAGAGCCCGGAGAUGGAAUCUGAGACACGAUUCCAGGCCCUACGGGGCGCAGCAGGCGCGAAAACUUUACAAUGCAGGAAACUGUGAUAAGGGAACUCCGAGUGCCCGUAUACGCGGGCUGUCCAGGUGUUUAAAAAUCAUCUGAAGAAAGGGCCGGGCAAGACCGGUGCCAGCCGCCGCGGUAAUACCGGCGGCUCGAGUGGUGGCCACUAUUAUUGGGCUUAAAGCGUCCGUAGCUGGACCGAUAAGUCUCUUGGGAAAUCCGCCGGCUCAACCGGCGGGCGUCUAAGGGAUACUGUUAGUCUAGGGACCGGGAGAGGUGAGAGGUACUCCGGGGGUAGGAGUGAAAUCCUGUAAUCCCCGGGGGACCACCGAUGGCGAAGGCAUCUCGACCAAACGGCUCCGACAGUGAGGGACGAAAGCUGGGGGAGCGAACCGGAUUAGAUACCCGGGUAGUCCCAGCCGUAAACUAUGCGCGUUAGGUGU
rnacentral:rRNA from 1 species